rnacentral:rRNA from 1 species
GGGCCCGCACAAGCGGUGGAGCAUGUGGUUUAAUUCGAUGAUACGCGAGGAACCUUACCAGGGCUUAAAUGCAGAACGACCGGGGUGGAAACACCCCUUUCUUCGGACGGUCUGCAAGGUGCUGCAUGGUUGUCGUCAGCUCGUGCUGUGAAGUGUCGGGUUAAGUCCCAUAACGAGCGCAACCCCUAUUUCUAGUUGCCAGCGGUUCGGCCGGGGACUCUAGAGAAACUGCCAGCGUAAGCUGUGAGGAAGGUGGGGAUGACGUCAAAUCAUCACGGCCCUUACGUCCUGGGCCACACACGUGCUACAAUGGUGGGGACAACGAGUCGCUAACCCGCGAGGGUAAGCUAA